rnacentral:tRNA from 1 species
GGUCGGUUAGUUCAAUGGAUAAGAAUGGAACACUACGGUUCUGAUAUGGCAGGCUCAGAGAAAUUCAUUCCCUGAAUGUCUAAUAAGAAUGUAAAGGUGUUCUGAUAUAGGUUCGAUUCCUAUACUGACCA